rnacentral:rRNA from 1 species
UCAAGAUGAGAUUUCCCACCGCAAGGGUAAGACCCCAGAAAGACUAUCUGGUUGAUAGGUCGAAGGUGUAAGUGCAGCAAUGUAUUUAGCUUAUCGAUACUAAUAGGUCGAGGACUUGACCAAUAUUUAUU